GGGCGCGUAGCUCAGUUGGUAGAGCAUCUGACUUUUAAUCAGACGGCCACAGGUUCGAAUCCUGUCGCGCUCA
rnacentral:tRNA from 1 species